rnacentral:rRNA from 1 species
GACAGAGGGUGCAAACGUUGCUCGGAAUCACUGGGCGUAAAGGGCGCGUAGGCGGGGAUGUAAGUCGGGCGUGAAAUCCCUAGGCUCAACCUAGGAACUGCACUCGAAACUGCGUUUCUUGAGUAUCGGAGAGGAAAGCGGAAUUCCUGGUGUAGAGGUGAAAUUCGUAGAUAUCAGGAGGAACACCAGUGGCGAAGGCGGCUUUCUGGGUCUUACCUGACGCUGAGGAACGAAAGCCAGGGGAGCGAACGGG